rnacentral:lncRNA from 1 species
UGGACUUACACAAAAUAGAAUUUAUGAGACUUCUUGUGCUUUUAGGAUGCCAACUUGUAACAAUAUAUAGUAAGUAGGUCUUUUAUAAGCAAACAACUUGGCAGAUAUUUCCCCAAAUUUGACAAUACUACUAAAAAUUUAUGUGACAUUAAGUGUAAUGAGUUAUGAAAUCAAAGGAACCCUCGUAUACUCCAAGUAAUGAAAAACAAAUUUUGGUCAACCAAAUCAAUAAAAGAUGGAAAUAUCUUUCGAUUCUCUGUAGAAAAUAUUGCAAAAUUAGUGUCAUAUAAAUAAGUGAUUUAAAGGGUAUGUAGCCAAAAAAUGUCAGGUAGUAAGUUAAUAGAAAUAUAUGUUAUUUUUCUGGUUGUUGUGAUGUUUUUGGUACUUACCAAUUCUUUAAAGUUCAGUAAGAUUUCUUUUUUCAUUCUUGUUAAAUGAUUGCUUAAUGAAUAAUCAUUAUUAUUUAAUGAAUGGUGAAUAGUUAAUUUUGUGUUGUCACUUUGCAUUCUAUAAGAGUCCCUCCUUCUGUCAUUUUUACAGGUCUCAGGCCCCACAAAAUCUGGAUCCACCCUUGCUCUCAGCAAUCCUGUUGAUAAAAAUUAUUCAUCAUUCAAAACCAAGAUCAAAUGUCACUUCCUUUAUAAAUUAUUUCCUGAAUCCCUAAUCAGGUUUGGAGAUAGAGCCACCCUAUAUGUGAAGAAGUCUGGGACUUUCUGCUUUAGGACUUCUGAAGAAGAAACAUGAAGUCAAUACAUAGCGAGGGGCCAGACGGAUUGUGUCGGAAACAAACACUGAGGCUGCUACCGUCCUUGUUGGGUACCAUAUCGCGUUUGGCAUUCCUACGGGCUACCUACCGGCUUUGUUGUACAGCCAGCUUGAAAGAUGGGCUGGAUCUCUUGUACUCUUCCCAGGACCUGGAGAGAGGCACUGGUUGUGCCUCUAGGCUUAUGAUGAUCUGGUCACAUGUUUCCAUUUCUUAUGUGGCCGUGCCACCCAAACUUUGCCCUGACUCUUGA